rnacentral:rRNA from 1 species
CCUACGGGGUGCUGCAGUGGGGAAUAUUGGACAAUGGGCGAAAGCCUGAUCCAGCCAUGCCGCGUGUGUGAAGAAGGCCUUCGGGUUGUAAAGCACUUUCAGUGGGGAAGAAAGCCUUGGGGCUAAUACCCUCGAGGAAGGACAUCACCCACAGAAGAAGCACCGGCUAACUCCGUGCCAGCAGCCGCGGUAAUACGGAGGGUGCGAGCGUUAAUCGGAAUUACUGGGCGUAAAGCGCGCGUAGGCGGUCUGAUAAGCCGGUUGUGAAAGCCCCGGGCUCAACCUGGGAACGGCAUCCGGAACUGUCAGGCUAGAGUGCAGGAGAGGAAGGUAGAAUUCCCGGUGUAGCGGUGAAAUGCGUAGAGAUCGGGAGGAAUACCAGUGGCGAAGGCGGCCUUCUGGGCUGACACUGACGCUGAGGUGCGAAAGCGUGGGUAGCAAACAGGAUUAGAUACCCUGGUAGUC